GUGAACGCUGGCGGUAGGCCUAACACAUGCCAGUCGAACGGCAGCACCGUAAGAGCUUGCUCUUACGGGUGGCGAGUGGCGGACGGGUGAGGAAUACAUCGGAAUCUACUUUUUCGUGGGGGAUAACGUAGGGAAACUUACGCUAAUACCGCAUACGACCUACGGGUGAAAGCAGGGGAUCUUCGGACCUUGCGCGAUUGAAUGAGCCGAUGUCGGAUUAGCUAGUUGGCGGGGUAAAGGCCCACCAAGGCGACGAUCCGUAGCUGGUCUGAGAGGAUGAUCAGCCACACUGGAACUGAGACACGGUCCAGACUCCUAAGGGAGGCAGCAGUGGGGAAUAUUGGACAAUGGGCGCAAGCCUGAUCCAGCCAUACCGCGUGGGUGAAGAAGGCCUUCGGGUUGUAAAGCCCUUUUGUUGGGAAAGAAAAGCAGCAGGUUAAUACCCCGCUGUUCUGACGGUACCCAAAGAAUAAGCACCGGCUGACUUCGUG
rnacentral:rRNA from 1 species